UGUGUGAUGUGUGUGAAGGGUUGGAGCUGUGUGUGAUGUGUGUGAAGGGUUGGAGCUGUGUGUGAUGUGUGUGAAGGGUUGGAGCUGUGUGUGAUGUGUGUGAUGGGUUGGAGCUGUGUGUGAUGUGUGUGAAGGGUUGGAGCUGUGUGUGAUGUGUGUGAAGGGUUGGAGCUGUGUGUGAUGUGUGUGAAGGGUUGGAGCUGUGUGUGAUGUGUGUGAAGGGUUGGAGCUGUGUGUGAUGUGUGUGA